CACACAUAUAUAUAUCUGUAUAUAUAUAUAUAUAUGUGUGUGUGUGUGUGUGAGAGUGUGUGUGUAAUGGUUGUCUGCAAGAAACACCUUUAAUUAAUCACAGCCAACCCUCAAAUAAUACGCAUAGUAUAGGACCCUUACAAUGCUACACUCCCAACUCUUCUCCCCACCCACCUUUUGUUUUCUUUCCUUCCACGGAUUCUGUGACAUCUUCCUCUCCUCAUUGACUCUGCAUGAAGGGGAUUCCUGGUGGGGGAAGGGUAGCUGGUGAGAAAUGAGGUAUCAAGAAACUAGCAAAGCAUCUUCUGGCUGUCUGUGGACAGUUCUUGUGUGGUCCCCAGCCUAGUCUCAAGGGUUCUGGGCUGGUCACCCUGCAGCCUCUGUGCUGUGUCACCAGAUUCGGGCUCUGAGGGAAGGGCCCUGGGAGGCCCAACAGAGCGGGGUGCCUUGUCUAACAUCCCCCCGUUCCUCUGGCUGUGUGGCUCAGGAAUAGGCCCAGACAGUGUGUCCAGGUGGUGCCAGGUCACCUCACUGCCCCCUUUGAGAUGGGCCCAGAGGGUUUUGUGGGGUGAGCAUGAAGCUGGGCACCCAAAGCCUGGGGCCGAGUGCCCCUCCCUGUGUCCCAGAGGAGGGGCCCUGACCUGAGAAGAUCCCCAGUGCCUGGCUUAUGGGUGCCAAUGUGGGGAGGGGUGGCUCUGAGGACUGAAGCGGGUCACUGAAAGAAGACAUUGAGCUCCAUGGCUCAGGGACCUUGGCAGUAGAGGCCUGGUAAGCAGAGACUAGGACACUGGGACUUGGUCACAAAAAAUAUGAUCAGAAAGGGCAUGGCCAUCAGAGAGUUGGUCAGGCGGCCUGGUCAUUGAGGGACUGUCAGUGAGGACCUGGUCACUGGGUGCUUGGUCAAUGGGUCUUGGUCAGUGGGGACCUGGUAAGUGGAGAUCUGAUUACUGGGGGCUUGGUCAUCAAGAGCCUGGUCAGUCAGGACCUGGUCAGUGAGGACCUGGUCAGUGAAGGACUUGUGGGGGGGCAUUGGUCAGCAGCGGCCUUGUCGGGGGAGGCUUGGUCAGUGGGGGCCUAGUUAGUGGGGUCCUGGCCAGCCGGCUGCUGGGUGACCUCAUGCAGGGGUUUGUCCUUGGAGCUUGCUUGCCGCCAUCUGUAGUGGGGAUGAGUCACAUCACCCCAGAGGGCUACUGGGAGGAGGAGAUGAGCAGGUGUGUGGAAUCCGGCCCUGCCCAACAGACCUAGCACUUUACACCCUAGCUGAGUCCCCUGCUAAAGAGGGGGCCUGCUCUCUGCCCUCCACCCUCAAUUCUCUGCUCCCCGUCCACAGGACUGCCCCACCUAGGGAGGGCUGAGGUUGGGGAACACCUGUGGACACUCUGAUGCUGGCCACAGGCCCAGGGCCGGGCGUGACAGUGACAAGGACCUGAGUGCGUACAUGAAUGGGGCCACCUGGCCCAGCCACAGAAGCAACACACCAUAUGCACGUGUUCACCCACAUAUAUGUGCACGCUCACAUUUACAAACACACUGCAUGCACACAUGUUGAUGCUUCGGGGGUGGAGGACGGUGACUGUGGGCCCUGCUGACCCAGGCGGGGGCCCAUUGUGAUGGGUGCCGUGAUCCCGUAAUGUCACUGGUGCUGAGUACCCACCCGCCUACCUGGCUGCCUUCUCUGUGUCUGGAGCUCUUAGAGACAAGAUAAACAGCGAUGUCUGGUUCUGCUCAGAGGAGGCUUUCUUAAGUGAGAGGCACAGUUGGAUCAGCAGACUCAGCUGAGUGUGACCUGCUCUGUUCCCUCCCUGCUGACCUGGGACAGUCGCUACCAGGCAGUGCUGGCCUCUGGGCGGGUGCCGAGGAGGGUCAUCCCUGAGCACUCACCAGGUGAGAUGUCUAGGGUCAGAGAGGCAGCGACUGGUCCAGAGACCCAGAUGUGACCCUGGGCCAUGCUCUUAGCCCUGCCCUGUGCUACGCUGGACUCAAGCCCUGACCUCUGUGGCCUCCCUGCCCUGGAUUCCAAAUCCAUCCGGGGUUCCAGCCCCUGAUGGGGCAGAGUCUGGCCCUGGAAGAGCCACUGGGACAGAGAUCCUAUGGGUGAGGUGGAGGGGGUGGUCCUCAGUCCAAGUCUGUGCCCUAAGCUGGGACCCCGCGGGAGGUCUCACCAACUCAGACUUCACAUGUGGUCACUGAGGGUCAUUGUGGGACCCACUGGACACAGGGGGUCCCUUGUCUGGGAGUGGGGUGAAGAGCCUUCUGCCCUUGGGCAGUUAGGUAGGGGACUUUGAGCACUGCUGCUUUGGGACCUGGGAAGUGGGGACCUGGGCAGCGGGGUCCUCGUCAUUGAGAACAUGGUCAGUGAGAGAUUUGGUCAUCAUGGGUUGGGUCAGGGGGGCCUGGUCAGCAGAGACUUGGACACUGGGGCUUAGUGAAAAUAUGAUCAGUGGGGAAAUAGUCACGGGGCCUGCUCAGUAGGGCCUGGCUAGCAGAGGCCUGGCCAGCUGGCCACUGGAUGACCUGACAGGGGGUUUGUCCUUGGAGCCUCUUUGCCUCUAUUCAUAGUGGGGAUGAGUCAUAGCAUCCCUCAGCACUCGCCAGGUGCAGGUUUUGUGCUGACCUUGUAGAUGGCCUUUUCCUUCAUCCCCACAGCAACUCCAUGGGGCGGAUCCUGUCCCCGAAUGUAGCCAUUCCACAGGUGAGAUGUCUAGAGUCAGAGAGGUGAUGACUGGCCCAGAGACCCAGAUGUGGCCUGGGCCGUGCACUCAGCCCUGCCCUGUGCAGUGCUAGACUCAAGCCCUGACCUUUGCAGCCUCCCUGCCUUAGAUCCCACAUUUCCCUGGGGUUCUGGACCCUGAUGGGGUGGAGGGGGUGAUUCUCAGUCCAAGUCUGUGCCCAAAGCUUGGUCCCCACAGGAGGAGGUCUCAUCAACUCAGACUUCAGGUGCGGUCACUGAUGGUUGCUGUGGGACCCACUGGACACAUGGAGUCCUUCGUCUGGGAGUGGGGUGGGGAGGCCUCUGCCCUCGGGCAGUUGUGGAAAAUGAAGGAGCUCUAGAGGGCUGCCUGGAGGGUGAUGAUCGUCCCUCUUGGUCAAAGGGGCUUGGGGACUGGAACCUUCUCUGUCUGAUUCUCUAGAGGUCUUGUCUUCCCUUUGUCCCAAGUAUUCCCAAGGAAGAUGGUCCCCCUGGGUGUUCUCCAGGACCAAGUCCCCAGAAUUCUCUUGUUUUUUCCUUGGUGAUCCAGGAAAACGAAGCCCCCUCCUGUAUUGACAGCUGGGAAUUGUGGAGUCCACCGUCCUCCACCUGAGACGAGCACAGGGUCUCCACGAGGACAGAGGCUGCUUUGGACUCAAUAGAAAACUGGGCAUCUUCAUGGUCCUAGAAGGAUCCCAGGAGGCUGAUCCUAUAGAGACGUCUGGUUCCUGACCCCAACUGCCUCCAGGUGCCUGGAACAGCCCAUCGUGGGCCCUUUACCCUCAGCAGGUGGACGCCGUUGGUCCUGCCAGGGCAAGUGUGUGUCUGUCUUAGGGCAUUUGGGAACAAUGGGCCUCUCUGUCCAGGUCCCCCUGUGUUCAAGUCCUCAGGAAGGAGCCUACUCCUGGUCCAGGGCAGGGACUCUAGAGACUAGGGCAUGGGUGGGAAUACUGGAUUUAACCCUUUGUCUUGGGGAGCAAUCGUGGAAUGGGGCUCACCUGUCUGGCCAGCAUUUGGGGGUCUGGUGGGAGCCGUUCGGGUGUUCUCUGGAGCUCUCGGGUGCUGCAGAGCCUUUGGAUGACUUUGUCUUGCAGGAUGGAGAUGGAUGAGCACCCGGAUAUCCUGCCCACCCAGGGGCAAGGCAACAUCAUCAUUACUAAGUAUGAGCAGGGACGCUGAGCUGGGGCAGCAGUGGACACAGAGCAUGAGCGUGUUGACAUCUGGAAAUUCACCAGUCGUCUCUGGGUUGUGUGUGAGACAGAGCUGCCCGUGUCAGUGCCCUGGAGGUGAAGGGAAGAGCCUGUGCCUGCUGCGUGGGAGACUGGUCCAGGGACAGGGAAUCAGGAGUGGUUGGUGAGACAGAGGGGGUGGCCUGCGGGCCCGGGCGGUGGUAAGUGGGCCAGGGCUGUCCCUGGGAGGGGCGGCCUUUCCUGACGGACUCUGUUCCCAUGAGCAUUUGACCAAAACCCAAAUCAAGAACCACAGUCUUGGCUCAGAGGUCACUGCCUGUUUGUACCAAGUCCCCAGCUAAGGGCCAGGACCUGACCAAAACUCGGGGUGUCUGUGGCCUGAGGAUGGUGUGUCCUGGCAUGACCAGUCCAGACCACCAGCUCCAGUUAGUUCAGAGGGUCUCAGCCCCCGGGCUCUGCUCUUUCCUUGCUCCUUCAGGGCCCCAAAGCCCAGGACCCAGCAUCCAUGGGCCGCUGCCGGAGGCCUGGCAGCUCCGCUAACUCCAUCAUGGCUCAUUUGACAGCAAAGGUGUCAGGAAAUAAAAUGUACUGACAAGUGGCUGAAGAUGCUUGGAGACUGGCCAAAAUAUAAGAACAGCAAGAAGGUGACAUGGCGGUUGGGCCUGGUAGCUCAGGCCUGUAACCCCAGCACUUCGGGAGGCUGAGGUGGGCGGAUCACCUGAGGUCAGGAGU
rnacentral:lncRNA from 1 species